rnacentral:ncRNA from 1 species
GUAAAUGUGAUGAAUGGGAAAAGUAGACAAUAUGAGUCUUUAAAGCGAGCAGUGAACUGGUGGAAGCAUUGCAGGAUAGUAUUUUUGAAGUUCUCCCAUGAACAGUUGGCUGAACCUUUUAUGUAGGUCAUACCGGGUCUUUCCCGUUACAGGAAGAAGUGUAUCGGAUUUUUAUUUAGUUUCCCGUACAUGAUUAAGUGGGUUUUUACCAAUUUGGGUGGUACCGCGUAGGCUAUAAGUCUUCGUCCCUUGU